UGUCGGCCUGUGGUUAAAAGUUGGAAUGAUUUGUCCUAAACACCCUUAAUGAAUUGUUCUUCUCGAAAUUUCAUCUUCUUCGUAAUUAGGGGUAUAUAAGUCUAAUCGUGUGUUGAUCUCUAUACUAAUGUCCUAAACACCCUCGAUUUCGAAAUUUUUUGUUCUUAAUUGUUAGAGGUAUAUAAGUCUAAUCGUGUUUUGAGAUGAUUAGUCUUAAUCACCCUUAAAUUUUUUUUUUUAUAUAGUGUAGUCGUUGGGGAUACGAAUGUCAUAAUGUCUCGACUUUAAGGAUUAUGGAAUCUUAGCUUUAAUUUAUUUGUUAUUUUUUGGAUAAUUUCUAUAUCUUAGUAGUUAAUAU
rnacentral:lncRNA from 1 species